GAACCCUUUUAUUUCUACACUAAGAGUUGUUCCGCAGAACAGUCAGCUGUUAAAUUACUUGGAACAAGUCUUGCUGUGUCUAUACUUGUUAACAUUACAUUUGUGCUUUCGUCGAUUCUCAGGAAAUAUCGUAAAAGCACCAAACAGGAACACUGUGUUUAAUUCACAUGACUAUGAGGAUCUUUGAAGAAUUCAAGUAUCUGAGCCUGAAUAUUGAAAAAAUUGUCCAGCCAAUGUAAUGGAAUUAUAGCAGUCACCAUUAGCGAAGCAAAAUGCUCAGCAGCAACAAUUUUCAAUACUUGCAUUAAAAGUUCACGUCAGUAGAGUAACAUUUUGAAUUAAAAGACAAUAGACUACAUUUUAUCAAACAAAAAUAAUUGAAACUGAUCUAUUCAUUUGUAAAGUGCUGAAUAUGUGUCUGAUUUUUAUUGUGUUAAACACUUGUAUAAAAUGCAAUAAAACAUUGAA